GUUCAAGGAAAUACAAAACCUUGCCUGCAAAACCCGGCCAAAAGCUCCCAGCAUGCUCUGAGGUCGGACAGGACACGGAGACUACCAUGAGGAAGGGUUCUUCCCUCAAGAAGAAAACGGCAGAGUUGCCCGAAGGGGGGGUGAGAACGUCAGAGGGCAAGGAACCGGGAGGUGGAGACACCGCCUUCAGAAGGAGCUGAGAUUUUGAUGAAUCACAACUGUGCAGGCAGAGUGACAGCUGGAUGAGUGACUAUG
rnacentral:lncRNA from 1 species